rnacentral:rRNA from 1 species
UACGUAGGGUGCGAGCGUUGUCCGGAAUUACUGGGCGUAAAGAGCUCGUAGGUGGUUUGUCGCGUUGUUCGUGAAAUGCCACAGCUUAACUGUGGGCGUGCGGGCGAUACGGGCAGACUGGAGUACUGCAGGGGAGACUGGAAUUCCUGGUGUAGCGGUGAAAUGCGUAGAGAUCCGGAGGAACACCGAAGGCGAAGGCAGUGUCCUGGCGAGUAUCCUGACGCUGAGGUGCGAAAGCCAGGGGAGCGAACGAG